rnacentral:rRNA from 1 species
UACGUAGGGUGCAGGCGUUAAUCGGAAUUACUGGGCGUAAAGCGUGCGCAGGCGGUUUCUUAAGUCAGAUGUGAAAUCCCCGGGCUUAACCUGGGAACUGCGUUUGAAACUGGGAGACUUGAGUGUGGCAGAGGGGGGGUGGAAUUCCACGUGUAGCAGUGAAAUGCGUAGAUAUGUGGAGGAACACCAAUGGCGAAGGCAGCCCCCUGGGUCAACACUGACGCCUGCAUGCACGAAAGCGUGGGGAGCAAACAGG